GAUGCUGGAGAUAAGAGAAAAAAUACAUCGCGUGCGUGAAACAGCAUCUCGCUGAAAAAUUACGGCAAAGAUAUUACGGGUCAUCUCUUAUAUUUCGCAAAGUCAAUAACGCAGUUACGUAAUCAGAUAAAGAGCACAAUUGGAAAUUAUGUAACUAAUUCUAUGAUGCGAACCUGCCAGUAAAUGCCUGAAGCGUGCGAUUUCAUUAAUUACGUUCAAUGUACUCAAAUGACAGAGCAGAAGACGGUCCGCAUUAUUCGAUCAAUGGAUCACGCCUAUUACAUCAUGAGAAUCAGUACACGUGGAUCCCUGGCAGAGCAGAUUAUACGUUUACGCAACGAAAACGAGGUGGAACACAUAUUCUAACAUUUUUUUUUUAGCAUUUCAAAUCACCGUCUACGAUGGUAAUGUCGCGUAUCGUGAUCAAUGUAGAAACUUAUUAAAGAAAGAAGAUAUGUUAUUCACAGCCAAUGGAUCAUCUUGAAGCAAAUAUGAUAGCAAAAAUGUAAUAGAGAGGUUAAGAUGUACAUAGUUGAACAUGAACAUAACCUUGUUUUAUUUGUAAUACCCAUAUGAAAGAUUCGUAAUCUAGAAGAGAAACUUCAACUCAAAUGUAAUCGAAUAAAAUGUGAUUUUACCGAAAACAACAGUAAAAAAAAAGGAUGAAGGAAGAAGAAAGAAAAGAUAAGGAACGUAGAAACAUUGUUUAUUAUUUGGAUACAGAACUAUAAUAUGAAGAAUCUCUAUUUUGCGUUUCCAAGAGAGUAAAAAAGGAGAAAGAAAUAAAACACAAUGAGUAAUUAUAGUAACAAAUAGAUUUACGCGAUACGAUAUGUCACAAGAAUUGAAAACGUUGCUAAAACAUUACAAUCGUGUACAACACGUAUCCUAUUCUCUCACCUAACUCUGAAUUCUCUUUCGUCAAUCGUACGAAUUUAAAUGUAAUAAAAUCAAGAUUUCCAUCUUGGACGGUUUUUCAAAUCUAAAAUAAUUCGAAGCUUUCUUAUCACGAUUCAAUCAAAACGAUUUGCCAGCUCUUUCGACAUUGUAUAUGUACUAUAUAUUUCCCAUUUCUCGCUAUCUUUCUUGAAGAUAUCGUUUCUCUUAUAGCAAUGCUAUGAAUAUGCGAUUCAAUAGAUUAUAGAGAUUCACAAUUUAACCUAAAAUAAC